AUGAAGUGGAGGCAACUCGCGGGCCUCCUAGGGGGCCUGGUCCAGUUCUCCCCCACCGCCUCCUCUGCUCGAUAUGGCCUCCAAAAAAAGGCAGGCGAUGCUCUGAUUCAGCUAUAUACUCAUUUCAUCUCUGAUUUUGAGAGGAAGAUCAAUCUUCUUAAAUUUGCUCACUUCGCGGUAGUAGUUUCACGCCAGUAUUCAGAUAAUGAUGCUGGUAUAAGCUAUCUCGAAGGCGUAAUUUUGAAGCUGCGUGAUACCAAGGAAUCACGGGUUGAAGAGCCCAUUCUGUAUGUGAAGAUGCAGAUUGCAAGUUUUCUUCUUGAGAAAGGGAAUCAAAAGGAGUGUAAGAAACUGGUACACGAGGGUAAAACCACUUUGGAUAGCAUGGGCGAUGUUGAUCCUUCAGUACAUUCGACCUAUUAUUGGUUAUGUUCUCAGUACCAUAAAGUGUGUCAUGACUAUUCUGAAUUUUAUAAAAAUGCUCUUCUCUAUCUUGCAUACACAACAGCGGAGUCACAUUCAGAACCAUUCAAACAGAACCUGGCAUUUGACCUCUCACUUGUUGCUUUAUUGGGUGACAACAUAUACAACAUCAGGGAGUUGCUUGCCCAUCCAAUUGGAUUGGUGGCAGCGAGAUCCAUGAGGAGCACGAGGCGGUGCAGCAAGAUGGGCAAAGAAGGUGUGGCAACAGGGUGGGCAAGAAGAUGA
rnacentral:rRNA from 1 species